UUAGUUUCUGCUACCACUUAAGUGUUAAUAGCUAAUAAUAGAGCAAGCUUGAUUACUACCUUGGUGUCCUAAAACGGAUGUUGGCCUGCCAGGGAGCAGCCAAGGUGAAGUUUUCAACCAGGCCGACCAACUUCAGAGUCCACUGGCUUCAAAACAGUGCUUUACAUCCUCCUUCCAACAUUAUUCACAAGCCGAUCAAGACUGAGAGAGUCACAAGUGUGUGAAACCUGUAUUCUUUCUGACUUCAUUUUCCCUGGUCGAAAUUUUUGUAGAAUAGACAAAUCAAGAAUGAUGACUUCUUAAGAUGCAGUAUUCAAGUUCAGAAAUCUAUACUCAGAUGACCUUAUGUAGGUCAUCUGCUUCUGAGGUUUAUCUCACCAGUGUUUUAUGUGAAGAACUGCAGUAAUGAAUUCUGAAUUUGUUCAAAUCAUUGAAGAUGUGUGAAGACAAAACAUUCACUCAAAUCUCUAUCAUGUUAGCAUGUUAUUUAUCAUUGCUCUGUUCUUCAUUGUUGAAUAAUGCAAUUGAGUUAAAAAGAAUAAACAUUAUU
rnacentral:lncRNA from 1 species